AUGGCCGUCAUCGCCGCUGCUCACACGCGUGGACACCGUCCUCGAAUCGCCUCCGCGGCGUGUCCAGGAGGAUUGCCGUUGUCCGCUACGGCCCCUGCACCACCGGAUUGGAGCCGGGAGCCGCCGCCGUUCGACCCGCUCCGGCUUCACAAAGCUGCUCCUCGUCACCGAUACUUCGAGACCGCCGCCGCCGCCGCUGCCCCGAUCGACUACGGUGUUGACGACCCAUCCUUCUCUACCGAGCUUCCAGAUGCUGGAGCCCAGGAGCCAAACGCCACCGAUGACGACCCCUACUACACCGAGGGUGCCUACAACUACGUUCAGGCCACCGACGACCAGGAGUAG
rnacentral:rRNA from 1 species